GUCAGAUUAGCUCUAAAUGCUUUGGUUUUUGAGUUAUAAGCCAAAAACUGCAUUUUACCCCUAUGUUCUAUUUUUAGCCAUGGCGGCCAUCUUGGAUGGUUGGCCGGGUCACCGGACACAUUUUUAAAACUAGAUACCCCAAUGAUGAUUGUGGCCAAGUUUGGUUUAAUUUGGCCCAGUAGUUUCAGAGGAGAAGAUUUAUGUAAAAGUUAACGACGACGACGGACGCCAAGUGAUGAGAAAAGCUCACUUGGCCUUUUAGGCCAGGUGAGCUAAAAAGG
rnacentral:lncRNA from 1 species